UACGUAGGGCGCAAGCGUUGUCCGGAAUUAUUGGGCGUAAAGGGCGCGUAGGCGGUGCGGUAAGUCUGAUGUGAAAUCUCCGGGCUCAACUCGGAGUCUGCAUCAGAAACUGCCGUGCUCGAGUGUGGGAGAGGUGAGUGGAAUUCCGAGUGUAGCAGUGAAAUGUGUAGAUAUUCGGAAGAACACCAGUGGCGAAGGCAGCGAAUUGGCGCUUUAUUGACGCUCAGGCACGAAAGCAUGGGGAUCAAACAGG
rnacentral:rRNA from 1 species